rnacentral:rRNA from 1 species
UACGUAGGUGGCGAGCGUUGUCCGGAAUUACUGGGCGUAAAGGGUGCGUAGGCGGCUUUUUAAGUGAGAUGUGAAAUCCUAAGGCUUAACCUUAGAACUGCAUUUCAAACUGGAGAGCUAGAGUACAGGAGAGGAAAGUGGAAUUCCCAGUGUAGCGGUGAAAUGCGUAGAGAUUGGGAGGAACACCAGUGGCGAAGGCGACUUUCUGGACUGUAACUGACGCUGAGGCACGAGAGCGUGGGGAGCAAACAGG